UACGUAGGGUGCAAGCGUUGUCCGGAAUUAUUGGGCGUAAAGAGCUCGUAGGCGGUCUGUCGCGUCGGCUGUGAAAUCCCGAGGCUCAACCUCGGGUCUGCAGUCGAUACGGGCAAACUAGAGUAUUGCAGGGGAGACUGGAAUUCCUGGUGUAGCGGUGAAAUGCGCAGAUAUUAGGAGGAACACCGGUGGCGAAGGCGCCACUCUGGGCCGAAACUGACGCUGAGGAGCGAAAGCAUGGGUAGCAAACAGG
rnacentral:rRNA from 1 species